GAUUGAACAGGUCUGGGUUGGAGCCCAAGAAUUUGCAUUUCUAAUUAAGUUCCCAAGUGAUGCUGCUGAUGCUUCUAGUCUGUGGACCACACUUUGGGAACUGCUGAACUAGCUAGGUUAAGGAGAAGCAGACCAGAACGAGACAUGGGAGCAAAGGCAUGCUGUUCCUAAAACUGAGGCGGUGGCCAAGGAAUACAGUGUCCUGAAACCGAUAAGCUAGAAGGCUAAAGAAGUUUCAAGGCAGGCAGUCAGAAGUCUUGCAAAGACAGCAGCUAACAGCAUACGGUAGACUCCAUGGGUCCCAGGCUGACAAGUUCUGGUUGAAUGUCUCGGAGAAGGCCUGGGCUCCACGCUUUGGAGGAAUUCAGAGUCUAGACAGGAGAUUGGACUCUUCUGGAAUUUCUGCCACUUCUUGUUGCCCCUGUGGAAGUGGGAAAAGUCACUCUUGAAUGACAGCAUCCAGGCUUCCUUGGUGAUGGACAGCAUGGAUCUCUCCUCGUGGCAGCUGUAGGAAACACAGGAACUCCAUGACCUGGAAAAUGUGGGACAACUGCCACAAGGUGACCCUGGAAGGCUGGGGUAGGCCCAAUUAAUUUAAAAUUUUGCUUGGCCUUGUCUCUUCCAAUUUUCUAAAUCCUCUGGAAAAAUGAUUAAUGCGUACACUGCCAAUGCGAAAAUAUUUUUGACCCUAUUAAAGUCGACCAAGGGUAAACCAAGUGUAGGCUGGCAUUGUAUCAAACUAGCUUUAUUAAAUUUGAUUGGAGGUUUGUAUGAGGAAGGGACAGACAAGGACAUUAUUUUGCACAGCGGCUCUCUUUUAAAUGAAAAUAUCAAGAGGAAUACAAAGUAGCAAUAUGCUCUGGAUAGGAAUCAUUUUAAAUAUAGGGAAAUAGCAUGAAGAACUUUGUUUAAAGGCUAAACUAUAUUUGCUAGAAAAUUUUUCUGCUAUCCUAUUACUAUGCUGGUCAGUUAGCAGUGAGGGUGUUUUAAUUUAUGGAAAGCUUAUGGAAGCCUUAGAUUUUUUCAUGUAGAGAUGAGAUAGUUCAACCUUUCUUUCUUUCCCUUAUCUGUCAUUGAAUUCUACAAGUUAAAAGUAUCUGUCUGCAUUUUGAACCUUAGCAGAAUGUUUCCUCAAUGAAUCCAUCCUAUGCAAUAAUUUACUUAAUUAAUAAAGUUAAAAUUUUUUUUCUGCUGGCUAUGAAUAAAUAAAAUGUUUUGAAUAAAAAUAGCACAAUUCAGGCACAAUUUCAAAGGGUAAACUUUUGCAUAAGUAUUUCUUAACCUUCUUCAAGAGAAUAUCCAUUUAAUGGUUGUAAAAUACAUGAUUUAGAAGUCAACAUCCAGAUUUCAUAUGUGUUUCUUAGAGUUUUCUUGAAGUAAGAUAUUUAGCCACAUGAAAAUUAUUGUAAGGCAUAUAUUUUACACAUUUAUCAUAUGGAAAAUAUAACAGCUUUGUUUAUGGCAGGGGUGGGUCUUAAUAAUUCUGGUAUAACUAGCACACAGGAAGCUAGCACGUGGUAAAUACUUAAUGCAUAAAUGGCAGAAAUCGCUUGUUACCAUCUACCAUAGAGGAACUAAAGUUACAGCUAGAAUGAUAGUUUAAGAGGUGGCAAUAGCCUAGUGAAUGUUCUUAAAUAUACUAGUUAUUUUAGUGUAAUUAGCGUGGAUGUGGAGAACAGGUGGUUAUAGAAUUAAAAAAAAAAAUCCCUAACUGGGACAUUCGCUUUACCUCUGAUUUUUUUUUUUUUAAACUGGAAGAUAGAAAUGGUCUAUAAAACCUAUGGAUUGCAUCAUUCUUCACCCAUGUUCUGUAGCUUUCUCUUUAGUAUCUUCGUAUAUCUUUGCCUUGUUUAAUGUAGGCCUGGCCAUUGAUGUGGUUUUGCCAAGGGAAUAUUAGCAGAAAUUUGUCAUGUUGCUUCUGGAAGAAGUUUUAAGAGUCAGGGCAUAGUUUGCCUGUCUUCCUUUCCUCUGCAAGACAGUCAGCAAAGUUCCAAAUAAAGGGCAAAGUGGAGCCAAGCUACAGAUGACUAGCGAUACCCACAAUAGUACUCAGGAAAAACUCAUUUUGUUAUUGCUAGCCUUUGGGAUUUUUCGACUGUCUUUUACCCCGGUAAAACAUCGCUUACCUUGACUGACAGAGAUGGAAACUGUAUCCUUUCAGCAUGAUCUAAACAAUGUGAUGUCUCUGAGCUUUGGGAUGAAAUUAGCCAUCAUCUUGCUGCCACCACUUCUAGGAAUCUUGUAGUUUCCACACCCACCUACUCCUCCUUCCCGUUUUACGAAUAGAAGGAACGUCUUCUGAUAAAUGGCCAAGAUCUCUGCUUGAGCUCUGGACCCCUUCUUCCAAAUGCUUAGAGCCUUAUCUUUUGACAAAGAGGAGAGAAGGGAUAACUCAGUCGUCUCCUCUCUGCUGGAUCAUGCAUAUAUUCCAUGCUAAGAACAAUUCCUUCUCGCCUUGUCAUUCCUUUCAGCUAGCCCCUUCCCAUUUCUCUCUUAUCUUUCUCAACAAAACUUCUCAAACUAUUUAACUGCAGGUGCUGGCUGCACUUCCUCAUGUUUAAUUCCUACUCUAAUUGAGUUUUUAUCCUACCACUGAAAACAAAUCACUCUUGUCAAGGUUCCCCAAAACCUCCUUAUUGUCCAACCCAAAGGACAUUUUCAUGUGCUAAUUUUGCUCUCCUUCUUAGCAGGAUUUCACUGAGGUGACCAUUCCCUCCCUCACGAGGGACUCUUCACUUGGCUUUCAGGACACUGUCCUGGCUCCAUUCCUACCUUUGCAGAUGAAUCUUUCUCCUUUACUUGCAUAUCCAAUUUGUAAAAAGUAGAGCUCAAAUGGGUCAGUAUUGAGUCCUCUUUCUUUCUAUAUGCAUAUUAUCUCCGUGUCUUGAAGUUGGUUCCAUGACAACUCCUAUUAUUUCUAGAGUUGCCAUUUUGAAGUUCUCACUUAGAAGUAUGCAUAAAAGGCCCAUUUAUAUAUAUAUACUUUCUUAUUUCCCACUUCAAAACAUUUUUUCAUGGAAUUUCAGGCAGAAUUCAUAAUGUUGUUAUUUUAAUUCCCUCAUUUUAUUCUUAAAAAACUAUUGAUCAUCCACAGUGUGCCAGGCACUAUAAUAAAUUUUAGGAAUAUAAAAAUGAAUCCUAUAUAAUUCUUCUCAAAAAAGUGCUUAGUGGGGAGGAAAAUAUGCACACAAUUAUGGGAAAAUGAGUAAAACGAGAACAUUUCUAAUAAUGUACCUUGUAUAACACAUGGUAGGAACAUAAAGGAAAGAGUAUCUAGGUUUUCUGGGGCAGUAAGAGAAAGAUUCCCAGAGGAAGUUAUAUUUGGGCUAAAACGUAGUCAAAUAGGAAUUUAUAGAAGCAGGGAAGAGGAAACAUUAUUCCUAAAGACAAGGAGAUCUGAGGAGGCCUGUCAUGUUUAGGGAAUUUAAAAUAGUUCAAUAUCUUUACAAAGAAUUUGUGAGGUGGAAAAGAAGAGCUGAAUUUGAACUUGGGGACUGAACCAGGGCAUGAGGGCUUUUUACAGAAGCAUAUAUAUUUUUUUACUUUGGGCUGACAUUUCUGAGCCCUUUCCAAGGUUUCUGUUUAAUCUGUCCCAAUCCUAUAUACAUGGCUCCUAUUAUACUAAGGGAAGGGACAACAUAAAUAUGACAAAAAGCUUUGAGAUAGGAAACAUUGCAUUCUUUCACAUUUCUAGUCUUUAUAUUCUUCUGUUGUAUUUGUCUGUCUGCAUUCUAGUCUUUUAUUUUCUGUUUACUUCAUUGAAUUUUGAGCAGCAGUUUUCUGGAAAUAUGGAUACUCAAAGUUUUAGUGUUUUGAUAACUACUGCUACUAUUUACAAUAAUCUGGUUCUAGUCCUUCACCUCUAGUACUGUAGGAAAACAAUCCUGAAAUUAAAUGGCUAUUUAAAGAUUAAACUUUCCAUAUUUCAGUAUGGGUAGCAUUAGUUGUAAAGUGUUUGAGGAUUCAGUACUAGAAGAAAACCCCAAUGGAUAUAGCGUGAGUUACUGUGAUGUGUAAUUUAUCUAAUAGAACCAUUGGGAGUACAUGCAUCUGGGUGACUUGACUCUAUUUUAGCAACAGCAAAAAUGACAUUUUCUGUAAUUUACAUUCAAAGUCUCAUUUUAUUGGUAUUUCUUAUUAUAGUUAAGAUGAAUGACAUUUUUAAAAAAUUAGAAAUGGCGAACUCAGUGUAUAUACAUGGAUUCUUGAAUAGUCUAUGCCUACCAGAGCAAUACAAUAAAAACUUUCAAAACUAAGGGAAGGCAACUUUUCUUCUAAAUAUUAUAUUAUUAACAGUAUUUAAAAUAUUUAAAUUUUGUGAUGUGAAAUUCAAUUGAGUGAUGUAAAAAAAUGUUUUGACUUUGUUUUACCUUAAAAAAAAAACUCUCCUAUUUUCGUUUCUUAAUUUAUGACAGGAAUGACAAAUUGAUAAAGAACAGGCAUUCUAGAUGAGAUUUUUAACUUCGUGGAUGAAUAUGCUGGGGUGAAUCAAAUAGGUUCACAGACAAACCUUCCUCAUGGAGUGCUAGCAGGCACCAUUGUCUUACUUGAAUUAUUUUACAGUUGCAACUGAAUGGACUCUGAUAACUUCUCCAGUAAAUUAGUCAUUCUAGUGAACUGCCCGCAGCAUUUUUGUGAAAGCAGUAGAACCAAGAACAAAGAGACAUUAAUGAUAUGAAUCAGAUUCUCCCUGUGACUUCAAAACUAAGUUGAAAAAAAAUGAGAUUGUAGGAGCGAAAGUGCAAGCCGAAUUUUCUGAAGAUAAGGGCAGUUCCUAAAAUGACUCUAAAUACUCAGUGAUGUCUGCUGAGCUCUAACUCAUUCACAUGCUUAUUUUAAUUUUUCCUUGUCAUUUGAUCGACUAGAACUGUGUGGGUGGCCACAUAGAAGUUGGCUGCACCACAGUGAAGACUCAUGGCUUACUUAGAACUUGAGCCAUUGGACACAGGGAUGGUUUUUAAAUAACUGUUCUUCCCUACCUCCACAACAUGUGUCAGGGCAUGUGAUGUCCAUAAAACCAAGAUACGUUCGGGAAUAAAAAUGUCUACACUCAUGACUGUAAAAGGAGAGACUAAACAAUUUGUAACAUGAUUUAAAUAAAAAGCUAAGUAAUUAUGGGCUUCUUUUUUCCCCAUAGUGCUGAUGUGUCCUCUCAGAAUUAGGUGAAGUGUUUGGGCUUAUUCAUUAAGGAUUCUAGGCCACUGGAGUACUAUUGAGUUUGUUAAUUUUUACCAGAAAGCCUCAGAUGAGUUACUCUACCCAGAUGGGUACUGGGGAAAUCUGAUUCAUUUUUUCUGGUAGUGGAAAAUGUACUUUUCUGCAGUGGCAGCUACACCACUCACAAGUGUAGCUAUUGAGGAACAAGGCAUUAGCUUUUCCAGGUGUCUAGGGUUUUACUCUAUAUUUCUAUAUGUUAUGGUUCUUUCUGAGCACCUAGUUCAUUGAUAAAGAGCUUAGUUUGUUGGAAAAUGGGAAGGUCCCAAGUACAGCAAAAAUGUUGACUCAGGUCUUAAAAAUAUAACUGAAUGAGAAAAACAGAUGCCUCUCCCUUUGCUCAUUGGGUUAAAAUAAAGUUGAAUACAUAAAAUGUUUUAAUUAGAAUAUUUAUUUAUUUCUUUUCUUAAAACUCUUUUAUU